UUUCACACUGUCAAGAAAAGUCUCUAUCGAGGUUAAAGGUACCCGUACCGCAAACCGACACAGGUGGGUGAGGAGAGUAUCCUAAGGCCAGCGAGAGAACUGUUGUUAAGGAACUCGGCAAAAUGACCCCGUAACUUAGGGAUAAGGGGUGCCACCAUCAGGUGGCCGCAGAGAAUAGGCCCAAGCGACUGUUUACCAAAAACAUAGGUUUCUGCUAAGUCGCAAGACGAUGUAUAGGAGCUGACGCCUGCCCGGUGCUGGAAGGUUAAGGGGAUCUGUUAGAGAAUCGAAGCAGUGAACUUAAGCCCCAGUAAACGGCGGCCGUAACUAUAACGGUCCUAAGGUAGCGAAAUUCCUUGUCGGGUAAGUUCCGACCCGCACGAAAGGCGUAACGAUUUGGGCACUGUCUCAACAACAGACUCGGUGAAAUUGUAAUUCCGGUGAAGAUGCCGGAUACCUGCGACAGGACGGAAAGACCCCAUGGAGCUUUACUGUAGCUUGACAUUGGGUCUUGGUACUACAUGUACAGGAUAGGUGGGAGGCUUUGAAACCAGGACGCCAGUUUUGGCGGAGCCAUCCUUGGGAUACCACCCUUGUAGUACUGGGACUCUAACCAUAGGCCAUGAAUCUGGUCUUGGGACACUGUCAGGUGGGCAGUUUGACUGGGGCGGUCGCCUCCCAAAAGGUAACGGAGGCGCUCAAAGGUUCUCUCAGUACGGUCGGAAAUCGUACGUAGAGUGUAAAGGCAAAAGAGAGCUUGAUUGCAAGACAUACAGGUCGAGCAAGGAUGAAAAUCGGACUUAGUGAUCCGGUGGUUCUGCGUGGAAGGGCCAUCGCUCAACGGAUAAAAGCUACCCUGGGGAUAACAGGCUUAUCUCCCCCAAGAGUCCACAUCGACGGGGAGGUUUGGCACCUCGAUGUCGGCUCAUCACAUCCUGGGGCUGUAGUAGGUCCCAAGGGUUGGGCUGUUCGCCCAUUAAAGUGGUACGCGAGCUGGGUUCAGAACGUCGUGAGACAGUUCGGUCCCUAUCCGUCGCAGGCGUAGGAAAUUUGAGAAGACCUGUCCUUAGUACGAGAGGACCGGGAUGGACGUACCUCUGGUGUACCAGUUGUCUGCCAAGGGCAUGGCUGGGUAGCUAUGUACGGAAUGGAUAAGCGCUGAAAGCAUCUAAGCGCGAAGCCAACUUCAAGAUAAGAUUUCCCACCGCAAGGGUAAGACCCCAGAAAGACUAUCUGGUUGAUAGGUCGAAGGUGUAAGUGCAGCAAUGUAUUUAGCUUAUCGAUACUAAUAGGUCGAGGACUUGACCAA
rnacentral:rRNA from 1 species